rnacentral:SRP_RNA from 1 species
GUGUUGACGUUUGGGUCCUACGCAACGAGACCCCGUGAACCUUGUCAGGUCCGGAAGGAAGCAGCAAUAAGCGGGUUCUCUCGUGUGCCGUAGGAGUGCCUGAA